rnacentral:rRNA from 1 species
GAUGAACGCUGGCGGCGUGCCUAAUACAUGCAAGUCGAGCGAACAGACGAGGCGCUUGCUCCUCUGACGUUAGCGGCGGACGGGUGAGUAACACGUGGAUAACCUACCUAUAAGACUGGGAUAACUUCGGGAAACCGGAGCUAAUACCGGAUAAUAUAUUGAACCGCAUGGUUCAAUAGUGAAAGACGGUUUUGCUGUCACUUAUAGAUGGAUCCGCGCGGCAUUAGCUAGUUGGUAAGGUAACGGCUUACCAAGGCAACGAUGCGUAGACGACCUGAUAGGGUGAUAGGCGACACUGGAACUGAGCCACGGUCAAGAGUACUAAGGGAGGCAGCAGUAGGGAAUCUUACGCAGUGGGCGAAAGCCUUACGGAGCAACGCCGCGCGAGUGAUGAAGGUCUUCGGAUCGUAAAACUCUGUUAUUAGGGAAGAACAAAUGUGUAAGUAACUAUGGACGGCUUGACGGUACCUAAUCAGAAAGCCACGGCUAACUACGUG